AUUCCAUGAUGUGGGCAAUCUGUGAAAUAAUCUUGAAAAUGAUCCCAAUCUUCUGGAAUGGGUUCACCUUUCUGGUGACAGAAUUCUGAUAUCUUCCCUCAUAGU
rnacentral:snoRNA from 1 species